AAAAUAAAGAGAAAAAGAAGAAAAAGCAAUUGUAUAAAAUAUGCAUGUCUAGAACGACUUCAGAUCUUCUACCUCUUGGGGAACUGAAAAAGCAAUGCUUUUUAAGAGAAGAAAAGAUAAUGUUCCAUGCAUACACAAAGUUGAAUUCCCAAGAGAAAGACUGUCCUUUGGUCGAGAUUCCUAGCUAGUCUUCUAUUCCAUUUACAAAAGAGCCCGCCCAUGCUUAUAAAGAAGAUCAGAUACAUACAUAUAGAAGCUCUGCUCUUCUGCUUGGGCUUGUCUGUCUGUCCCUCCCUUCCUUGUUAAAUGGCUGAGCAGGGGAGGCCGAGCUCCUUGCUCAUUCUGAUUUUUCUGGUCUACCUUUCAUCUGUGAGCGCCGAUACGACGGAGUAUGUGACGGCAGUUGGCGACCCAGGAAUGAGGCGCGAUGCGCUGAGGCUGGCAAUAGAGUCAUGGAACCAAUGCAAUGAGGUUGGCGAGGAAGCUCCUCGCAUGGGAAGCCCGAGAGCUGCUGAUUGCUUUGACAUUUACCGAGCCAUUCCUAAGAGAAAUGAAAAAAAUUGCUCCUUGUGCAAAUUGCUGCCCUACAUACUGGUCCACAGGAUCACGGAGUUAGACAACAGGCUCGCAGUCGGAGACCCUUUCCGGGACUCCAUGCCGAAGCCCUGUUAAAUCCAAACCUCUACGCCGCACUCAAGGAGCUCUACUUGGGCGCAAAAUGCCAGGUCGAGGACACCCCAAACCCGUGGCAGUUCUGGAUGAUCAUGCUCAAGAAUGGCAACAUGGAUACGUUCGCCUCCAGGUGCCCAAAAAAUGGCCACAAGGUUGGACCGUUCGGCCCCGACACCGCCUUCCCUUGCUUCGGCAAGGGAUGCAUGAACCACCCGCUGAUGUAUCAUGACUACACAACUUUGCAAGGCCCUAAUUUGACUACUCUUAAGGGAAGGUUUCAUGGGUCAUGGGACUUGGAUGCUGUUUUCAUUGGCAAUGGUAAUAAUAAUUCAUACUAUUCUGUGACGUGGGAGAAGGAAAUUGGGAAGGGCAAGAGUUGGGUAUUUCACCAUGUCUUGAGGACUUCAAAGAGGUAUCCAUGGCUGAUGCUUUACCUCAGAUCAGAUGCCACCAGCGGUCUCUCUGGUGGGUAUCACUACCCUACCAGAGGAAUGUCCAAAAUUAUCCCAGAAUCACCAAACUUCAAAGUGAGGUUCACCCUGAAUGUGCUCCAAGGUGGGGGCCCCAACAGCCAAUUCUACCUGAUUGACAUUGGAAGCUGUUGGAAGAACAAUGGCCAGCCGUGCAAUGGGGACGUGACCUCUGAUGUCACCAGGUACAGUGAGAUGAUCCUGAACCCCAACACCAGCGCCUGGUGCCACCCGGACAACCUCGGUGUGUGUCCCCCUUACCACACCUUCCGGAACGGAACCCAGGUCCACCGCAACGACACUGCUCGGUUCCCCUAUGCCGCGUACCACCUGCACUGCUCACCUGGGAACGCCGAGCACCUUGAGGAGCCCUACAGCUUGUGUGACCCUUACAGUAACCCCCAGGCCCAGGAGAUCCUGCAGAUUCUGCCGCACCCCGUGUGGGCAGAGUACGGGUACCCGACGAGGCAAGGGGAGGGUUGGAUUGGAGACCCUAGGACAUGGGAAUUGGAUGUCGGGAGGUUGUCUCAUUCACUUUAUUUUUACCAGGAUCCAGGGACACCAAGUGCUAGGAGGCAAUGGAUGUCUGUAGAUUUGGGGACUGAAAUAUUCAAAGAUCCCGAUCAGGUUGCCGAAUGGACCGUUAGUGAUUUAGAUAUUAUUGUGCCCAAGAAGAUGGUCACAACAUAGCCUGCAUUCGCUUCCCUUUUUUUUCUUUUUUCAGAGGGAGGAAAAUUGAAGGGAACAGAGAGAGUUUCAACCCAAAGGGUUGUGCAACAUUGAGGAAAACCAGGCCAAACGAAAGAAACUCCGGGGUUGCGAGUGAGUUUUGUUUUCCUCCUAUUUAAUGAAGCAAACAGCGAAUGCACGGCUCGUUCCAAGCAUCGAACUUGGUUUCUUAA